UGCGGCCCGCGAACUGAAAAGUUUGGAGACCCCUGCUCUAGAAGGAUAACAUAUGGUCUCCAUCCCCUAUUCCUACUCAAUACGUCCCCGUCGUACAGAAUGGUAACUUCGGCAGAUCCUCUAGAAACGCCGAGAGCGCAAGAUCCCGAAAGUGUCAUUCGAAGCGC
rnacentral:ribozyme from 1 species